UCUUAUGCAUGAGCAGAGAAAGUGGUUUCUUGAGAUGGAAUUUACUCCUGGUGAAGAUGCUGUGAA
rnacentral:pre_miRNA from 1 species